rnacentral:rRNA from 1 species
UACGGGGGGGGUAAGCGUUGCUCGGAAUGACUGGGCGUAAAGGGCGCGUAGGCGGUUUGUACAGUCAGGUGUGAAAUUCCCGGGCUCAACCUGGGGGCUGCACUUGAUACGUAUGGACUGGAGUGGGGAAGAGGGUCGUGGAAUUCCCAGUGUAGAGGUGAAAUUCGUAGAUAUUGGGAAGAACACCGGUGGCGAAGGCGGCGACCUGGUCCUUGACUGACGCUGAGGCGCGAAAGCGUGGGGAGCAAACAGG